GUGGGGAAUAUUCCGCAAUGGACGAAAGUCUGACGGAGCAACGCCGCGUGAGUGAUGAAGGUUUUCGGACUGUAAAGCUCUGUUGUUUAGGACGAAAGUGCCUGUUGCAAAUAGUUACAGGUAUUGACGGUACUGAACGAGAAAGCCACGGCUAACUACGUGCCAGCAGCCGCGGUAAUACGUAGGUGGCAAGCGUUGUCCGGAAUUAUUGGGCGUAAAGAGCAUGUAGGCGGGAAUCUAAGUCUGUUGUGAAAAUGCGGGGCUCAACCCCGUAUUGCGAUGGAAACUGGGUUUCGUGAGUGCAGGAGAGGAAAGGGGAAUUCCCAGUGUAGCGGUGAAAUGCGUAGAUAUUGGGAGGAACACCAGUGGCGAAGGCGCCUUUCUGGACUGUGUCUGACGCUGAGAUGCGAAAGCCAGGGUAGCGAACGGGAUUAGAAACCCUUGUAGUCC
rnacentral:rRNA from 1 species